rnacentral:rRNA from 1 species
AGUGAACGCUGGCGGUAGGCCUAACACAUGCAAGUCGAACGGCAGCACAGUAAGAGCUUGCUCUUACGGGUGGCGAGUGGCGGACGGGUGAGGAAUACAUCGGAAUCUACUUUUUCGUGGGGGAUAACGUAGGGAAACUUACGCUAAUACCGCAUACGACCUACGGGUGAAAGCAGGGGAUCUUCGGACCUUGCGCGAUUGAAUGAGCCGAUGUCGGAUUAGCUAGUUGGCGGGGUAAAGGCCCACCAAGGCGACGAUCCGUAGCUGGUCUGAGAGGAUGAUCGCCCACACUGGAACUGAGACCCGGUCCAGGCUCCAAGGGGGGGGAGGAGUGGGGAAUAUUGGAAAAGGGGGCAAACCCUACUCAGCCCAUACCGGGGGGGAGAAGAGGCCCUUGGGGUUGAAAGGCCUUUUUUUUGGGAAAAAAAAGCAGCAGGUUAAUCCCCCGUUUUUCUAGCGGUCCCAAAAGAAUAGGCCCCGGCAACCUUCG